rnacentral:rRNA from 1 species
GACGAACGCUGGCGGCGUGCUUAACACAUGCAAGUCGAACGGAAAGGCCCCUUUGGGGGUACUCGAGUGGCGAACGGGUGAGUAACACGUGAGUAACCUGCCCUUGACUUCGGGAUAACUUCAGGAAACUGGGGCUAAUACCGGAUAGGAAUCCUUGCUGCAUGGUGGGGGUUGGGAAGCUUCGGCGGUUUUGGAUGGACUCGCGGCUUAUCAGCUUGUUGGUGGGGUAGUGGCUUACCAAGGCUUUGACGGGUAGCCGGCCUGAGAGGGCGACCGGCCACAUUGGGACUGAGAUACGGCCCAGACUCCUACGGGAGGCAGCAGUGGGGAAUAUUGCACAAUGGGCGGAAGCCUGAUGCAGCAACGCCGCGUACGGGAUGACGGCCUUCGGGUUGUAAACCGCUUUCAGCAGGGGCGAAGCUUGUGGUGACGGUACCUGCAGAAGAAGCACCGGCUAACUACGUG